UGCGAUGGCCGUCGUCAGUUCGUACUGUGAAGCAUCCUGUUAAGUCAGGCAACGAGCGAGACCCACGCCCACAGUUGCCAGCGUACUCUCCGGAGUGACGGGUACACUGUGGGGACCGCCGCUGCUAAAGCGGAGGAAGGAAUGGGCAACGGUAGGUCAGUAUGCCCCGAAUAUCCCGGGCUACACGCGAGCUACAAUGGUUGGUACAAUGGGUAUCUACCCCGAAAGGGGACGGAAAUCUCCUAAAACCAAUCUUAGUUCGGAUUGAGGGCUGCAACUCGCCCUCAUGAAGCUGGAAUCCGUAGUAAUCGCGUUUCAACAGAACGCGGUGAAUACGUCCCUGCUCCUU
rnacentral:rRNA from 1 species